CUGCAAUACAGAAACCUAUUUGAGCAAAACCAGGGCUGGAUCUGGAGGAGGGAAUCGUGCAGCUGCAGCCAGGCAGCCCCAGCCAUCCUGGGCGCAGCUGGGAGCGGGGGGCUGAGUUUAGGGGGGUGGUCCUGGGGCGGGCUCAGGCUGAAGGGCAGCCGGGGGGCAGUCAGGGGGUGCUUCUGGGCCGCUGGUGGUGCUCCUGUUUGCUGAGAGCUGGUGCUGUGGCAUGUGGAGGUCUGGGGCUGACGGGUGGUGGAUUACAAAUGCAGACGUCGUGGCUGCGGGCUGAGACAGGCCUGGGGCUUCCAUUGCUCUUCCCUUGGCAAGCAGGAGCGCCGUCAGCCUGCGCCAGUCACCGCGCCGUCCUUCACCCUGGUCUAGCACCACAGGCCCUUUGCCAAGCACCAAGAAGAGCAGCCUUGUCCCUCACCUCCGCUACCUGAUGGCCGCCUGAAGAACCUCUUCAGAGCCCUUUCUGCUGCCUGCCUGCCAA